rnacentral:rRNA from 1 species
AAUGAACGCUGGCGGCGUGCUUAACACAUGCAAGUCGGACGAGAAAGGCUGAUUUCGGUUGGCCGAGUAAAGUGGCGCACGGGUGAGUAACGCGUAGGCAACCUACCCUUGUAUUGGGGAUAACCCUGCGAAAGUGGGGCUAAUACCGGAUGAGACCCUAUUCUGGAGGGGAUAGGGUGAAAGUCGGCCGCUCGGAGAAGCUGACGUACGAGGAUGGGCCUGCGUCCUAUCAGCUGGUUGGUGGGGUAGCGGCCUACCAAGGCGACGACGGGUAGCUGGUCUGAGAGGAUGAUCAGCCACACUGGCACUGGAACACGGGCCAGACUCCUACGGGAGGCAGCAGUGGGGAAUUUUGCGCAAUGGCCGCAAGGCUGACGCAGCAACGCCGCGUGGGUGAUGAAGGCCUUCGGGUCGUAAAGCCCUGUCAGGUGGGAAGAAAGGCCUUAAGGAGAAAGACUUGAGGUUUGACGGUACCACCAGAGGAAGCACCGGCUAACUCCGUGCCAGCAGCCGCGGUAAUACGGAGGGUGCGAGCGUUAUUCGGAAUUACUGGGCGUAAAGCGCGUGUAGGCGGGGGGACAAGUCUGAUGUGAAAGCCCUGGGCUUAACCUGGGAAGCGCAUUGGAAACUGUUUUUCUUGAGUACUGGAGAGGAAGGGGGAAUUCCCGGUGUAGAGGUGAAAUUCGUAGAGAUCGGGAGGAAUACCAGUGGCGUAGGCGCCCUUCUGGACGGUAACUGACGCUGAGACGCGAAAGCGUGGGGAGCAAACAGGAUUAGAUACCCUGGUAGUCCAC